UUGGAGGGCAAGUCUGGUGCCAGCAGCCGCGGUAAUUCCAGCUCCAAUAGCGUAUAUUAAAGUUGUUGCAGUUAAAAAGCUCGUAGUUGAAUUUCGAGACCGGCUUACUGGUCGUGCUAUUGUACGUACUGGUAUAAUCGGUUUCUCCUUUCUGACGAACUAUAAUGCCAUUAAUUUGGUGUUUUAGGGAAUCAGGACUGUUACUUUGAAAAAAUUAGAGUGUUUAAAGCAGGCUCACGCUUGAAUACAUUAGCAUGGAAUAACGGAAUAGGACGUUUGAUUCUAUUUUGUUGGUUUCUAGGAUCGACGUAAUGAUUAAUAGGGAUAGUUGGGGGCAUUAGUAUUCAAUUGUCAGAGGUGAAAUUCUUGGGUUUAUUGAAGACUAACUACUGCGAAAGCAUUUGCCAAGGAUGUUUUCAUUAAUCAAGAACGAAAGUUAGGGGAUCGAAGACGAUCAGAUACCGUCGUAGUCUUAACCAUAAACUAUGCCGACUAGGGAUCGGAUGAUGUUAAUUUUUUAAUGACUCAUUCGGCGCCUUACGGGAAAC
rnacentral:rRNA from 1 species